rnacentral:rRNA from 1 species
UACGAAGGGGGCUAGCGUUGCUCGGAAUCACUGGGCGUAAAGGGCGCGUAGGCGGAUCUUUAAGUCGGGGGUGAAAGCCCAGGGCUCAACCCUGGAAUUGCCUUCGAUACUGAAGAUCUCGAGACCGGAAGAGGUAAGUGGAACUGCGAGUGUAGAGGUGAAAUUCGUAGAUAUUCGCAAGAACACCAGUGGCGAAGGCGGCUCACUGGCCCGAUACUGACGCUGAGGCACGAAAGCGUGAGGAGCAAACAGG